rnacentral:rRNA from 1 species
GACGAACGCUGGCGGCGUGCUUAACACAUGCAAGUCGAACGGAAAGGCCCUGCUUUUGUGGGGUGCUCGAGUGGCGAACGGGUGAGUAACACGUGAGUAACCUGCCCUUGACUUUGGGAUAACUUCAGGAAACUGGGGCUAAUACCGGAUAGGAGCUCCUGCUGCAUGGUGGGGGUUGGAAAGUUUCGGCGGUUGGGGAUGGACUCGCGGCUUAUCAGCUUGUUGGUGGGGUAGUGGCUUACCAAGGCUUUGACGGGUAGCCGGCCUGAGAGGGUGACCGGCCACAUUGGGACUGAGAUACGGCCCAGACGCCUACGGGAGGCAGCAGUGGGGAAUAUUGCAAAAUGGGCGGAAGCCGGAUGCAGCAACGCCGCGUGCGGGAUGACGGCCUUCGGGUUGUAAACCGCUUUCGCCUGGGACGAAGCGGGAGUGACGGAAAUGGGUAAAGAAGCACCGGCUAACUACGUG